CUCUUUUUUUUUUUUUUCGCCAGUAGAGACAUUCGCCAUGUUGCCCACGCUGCUCUCGAACACUUGGGCUCAAUCUCUCAGAGAACAGAAGAGGAGAUCAAGUCACUAACAUUUUGGAAGCUGGAAAACUGGACAAUAGGAAUUGACUUAGCAGAUGUGUCACCUAUUGAAGGGGGUGGCCAAGAGCAAGCCUAGUUUGUUCCAGACAACCACCAGAGGUUCAAGGAUUGGCAGCACCAGAGCACUAACCCCAGUCUAAUCAUGAGAUAAACAUCAAUCAAAACCCAACUGAGUGGCAUUCUACAAAAUAAUUGACCAGUAUUCUUUAAAACCAUCAAAGUCAUCAAAACCAAGGUAAGUCUGAGAAACUGUCAUGGCCAAGAGGAACCUAAGGAGACCAAAUGACUAAGUGUAAUGUGAUAUCCUUGAUGGGAUCCUGGAACAGAGAAUGGACAUUAUGAAAAA